GUUGGUGAGGUAAUGGCUCACCAAGGCUAUGACGGCUACCGGCUCUUAGCGGAGAGUCCGGCACAAUGGGACUGAGACACGGCCCAUACUUCUACGGAAGGCAGCAGUUAGGAAUUUUGCGCAAUGGACGAAAGUCUGACGCAGCGACAUCGCGUGUGGGAUGACGGCCCUCGGGUUGUAAACCACUUUUUGGGAGUCAUGAAGGCGCCCAGAAUAAGGAACUACUAACUACGUGCCAGCAGUCGCGGUAAUACGUAGGUUCCGAGCGUUACCCGGAUUUAUUGGGCGUAAAGGGUCUGCAGGUGGUUUUCUAAGUCUUGUUUCAAAGUCCCCGACUUAAUCGGGGGAAGGGGCAGGAUACUGGAAGACUAGAGUUAUAUCGGGGUUACUGGAAUUUGUGGUGUAGGGGUAAAAUCCGUGGAUACCACAAAGAACACCAAGCGCGAAGGCGGGUAACUAGGUAUAUACUGACACUCAUAGACGAAAGCUAGGGUAGCCAAUCAGAUUAGAGACCUGAGUAGUCCUAGCCGUAAACAUUGUCUGUUAAUUUUCCCCCUUUUGGGAGGAGAUGCUAGCUAACGC
rnacentral:rRNA from 1 species